rnacentral:rRNA from 1 species
CCUACGGGAGGCAGCAGUGGGGAAUAUUGCACAAUGGGGGAAACCCUGAUGCAGCGACGCCGCGUGAGGGAAGAAGGAUUUAGGUAUGGAAAGCUCUAUUAGCAGGGAAGAAAAUGACGGUACCUGAUUAAGAAGCCCCGGCUAACUACGUGCCAGCAGCCGCGGUAAUACGUAGGGGGCAAGCGUUAUCCGGAGUAACUGGGUGUAAAGGGGGCGUAGACGGCAGCACAAGUCUGGAGUGAAAUGCCGGGGCUUAACCCCGGAACUGCUUUGGAAACUGUGCAGCUAGAGUGCGGGAGAGGUAAGUGGAAUUCCUAGUGUAGCGGUGAAAUGCGUAGAUAUUAGGAGGAACACCAAUGGCGAAGGCAGCAUGCCGGCUCCACACUGACGCUGAGGCACGAAAGCGUGGGUAUCGAACAGGAUUAGAUACCCCUGUAGUC